rnacentral:misc_RNA from 1 species
GAUGAAGAACGUAGUGAAAUGCGAUAAGUAAUGUGAAUUGCAGAAUUCAGUGAAUCAUCGAAUCUUUGAACGCAUCUUGCACUCCUUGGUAUUCCGAGGAGCAUGCCUGUUUGAGUGUCAUUAAAUUCUCAACUACACUGAUUUUUUUUGGUUGGUGUAGAUUGGAUUUGGGGGAAUUUUUUGCGGGCUUUGUAAAAUGAAGUCGGCUCCCCUGAAAUUAAUUAGUGGUACCUUAGUUGAACUGUCUACAGGUGUGAUAAUUUAUCUACGCCCCAGAUGUCUGCAUGAAAAAGGUUAUGCUGCUUCUUAACCUCACUAAUGAUAAUCUUGACCUCAAAUCAGGUAGGACUACCCGCUGAACUUAAGCAUAUCAAUAAGCGGAGGA